rnacentral:rRNA from 1 species
UACGAAGGGUGCAAGCGUUACUCGGAAUUACUGGGCGUAAAGCGUGCGUAGGUGGUGAGUUAAGUCUGUCGUGAAAGCCCCGGGCUCAACCUGGGAAUGGCGAUGGAUACUGGCUCGCUAGAGUGCGGUAGAGGAGAGUGGAAUUCCCGGUGUAGCAGUGAAAUGCGUAGAGAUCGGGAGGAACAUCAGUUGCGAAGGCGGCUCUCUGGACCAGCACUGACACUGAGGCAUGAAAGCGUGGGGAGCAAACAGG